AAAGCACUUCUUAUUGAAAUGAAUUCCUGCAUUUGAUAGCAAUGGAAGAAAACUAACCUUCCAGUAACAGAAGGUGGAUCAGUGGUGACCUAGGGCUGGGGAGAAUGACUGCAAACGGAGAGGAAAUUUAUUCUGGUAAGAAAAUGUUCUUUACUUUGAUUGGGGGUGGUGGUUACAUGGGUGUACACGUUCAUCAAAGAUCAUUGAACUCUACAGUAAAAAUGGCUACACUUAAUUAUAGUAAAUUAUAAUUUCAUUAAGUUGAUCAGAAAGAAAAAACGUCCCAAUGAAGCGACAGACAAAAGUCACCACACCAGUGUCUGUCUUAAUAUUUGAAUAUGCACUAAAUUUCUAGGUUUCUAUUUGUUUCAUACCACAUGUCAGGGGGGCAAGUUUACAUCUAAAUAAAUGGCUUAAUGAGUUAAAUUAUAAUAGAGGAAGAUAUUUUUAUAUAUAUAUACUUUUUUAUUUUUAGAGAUAGGGUCUUGCUCUGUCACCCAGCGUGGAGUGCAGUAGUGCAAUUAUAGCUCAUUGCAGCCUAAAAGAGGAAGAUAUAACAAAAUUAUUCAAGAAAUGAAUAAAAGCCUAUGGUAUGAGUGCUUUCCAACUGAGUGAUUAACUUUUGAUAUGCUAUUUUGUCUUUGUUUGAAUCGUGAGUUGUGAAGUGUUUAGAAAAAUCUGUCAAGUACACAAGUCUGCUUUUUUGGUAGUUGGAUCAAAAUAUUAAAUCUCUUAUCAAAUGUUUAAGAAAAUGUGAUUAAUAAAAUAUGUAAAUGGUAUUAAAUGUUCAGGAUAAUUGGAAUUUACAAAUUGUUAAAGAAAUGGGAAUGUAAUUUCUCAUUUUUAUCAAAUUUACUGUUCUUAUAUCUUCAAGUUGAGCUUAGAGAUUUAAAAAUGCUGUAUUUUAAAUGUAUUUUAAUAAAGCAAAUAUUAAAACAAGUAUUUAUAAGUAUUUUUCUUCCCAUACCAAAAGCCUGCUUUGACAGUAAAGCUUGUUGACACAUGGUUCAAACACUUCCUUCCUGCCUUUAAAAAAUUUAUUCUGCUUUUCAAGGAAGGUAUGUUUCUAUUUUAUCUACAAACCUUGUAGACUGGCCUUAUGGUUUUAGCAAUAUAAAAACACACAAAGUGAUGCAUUUUUUAAAUGAAAUUAUUUAACAACACAAUGUAUUUUACCACUCUUACAAAGAUAACUUACAGUAAAUAAUGUUAACGAUGUUAGUUUUACUUAUACGAUUUUUCUGUGUACCCUCUAUCUCUACUUCACCUCAAUGUCUUUCACCCUCCAAUUUUAAGGUGAAAAUAUCUAGGCUUCUGCCCUCUGCAACUGAUUUCUAUUGAGGGCCUAUGGAGGUAAAAUGACAAUAAUCAUUGAAUCUAGAAAGAAAAAGCAUCAAGCACAAUUUACAUGAACAAUAGUUUCAGUUGACAUUUAACUGAAUGCUUCUAACUUAUUUAAUCUUAUUAGAUAGGCAGUGUUUUAAUCAAUUUACAGAUGGAGAAACCAGGGAUGGUGCAACUUGCAAGUGGCAGAGCCCUGUUUAUCUCCAAAGUUCCUGUUCCUCUGAGAUGAAGUUAUAGAUUAACCUAAGUUUGUCCUUUCUUGAUGUAACCAACUAAUAUCUUUGAGGAUCUUUUUUCUUUUACCCAGAGUGCUGUGUUAAGUGCUGAGUAUACAGAUUCAUUCAACCCUCUAACCAGUCCUUGUAGUACUGAUUCAUCUGUGGUCAAAAUCUGGGGUACUGGUGGGUUUUGUUUCCAAAGGGUUAUGACUUUGAGUGACUAAAAAAAGAUAGUUUAUCCUUGAUGUAGGGACCAUCUUUGAUUUCUCAUUACUUCCCCUUUUGACCCCUCCAAAGCACUUAGCAAAUGUCAGCUAAUGAAUAAAUGAUAAAAAAAUGGUUGGCCAAAAAGACAGCAUCAGAAGAGAAUUUUUACCUAGUGCAGUGCUUAGCACCUAUCAGGGAUUUAUUAAACAUAUAUGGAAGAGAAUGACAUUUCUGCCAUUUUAUUAAUAAAUUCAACAAAGUAUUUAUUGAACUUUAACCAUGGCUUGGGCAUUUGUUAAGGAUGAGUGGUUUAAUACAAUGAUGAUUCAGACACGGUCUCUACUUCCAAGGAAUCUGGCAUCUCAAAUAGGUAAGACACACAUAAAAGUAAUAGGUGAUAGCAGUAAGUGCUGAAAUAAGACUGUCAUUCAAGUGUUGUGAAUUUGAAGAAGUUGGGAAGAUCAGGAAUGCAAAUUUCUUCCCCCUUGUCUUAGUCCAUUUGUACUGCCUUAACAAAGUAUCUUCAACUGGGUAAUCUAUAAAUAAUAGAAAUUUAUUUUCUUACAGCUCUGGAGGCUGGGAAGUCACGGUUAAGCACCAGUUGGUUUGGUGUCUGCUGAGUCCCCAGUUGCUGCUUUCAAGAUGGUACCUUGUUGCUGGGUCCUCACGUUAGAAGGGACAGAAGGGGCUGGGCAUGGUGGCUCACACCUAUAAUCCCAGCACUUUGGGAGGCCGAGGCAGGCAGAUCAUGAGGUCAGGAGAUCAAGACCAUCCUGGCUAACACGGUGAAACCCCAUCUCUACUAAAAAUAUAAAAAAUUAGCCGGGCGUGGUGGUGGCGGGCACCUGUAGUCCCAGCUACUCGGGAGGCUGAGGCAGGAGAAUGGCGUGAACCCGGGAGGUGGAGCUUGCAGUGAACCAAGAUCACGCCACUGCACUCCAGCCUGGGGCAACAGAGCAAGACUCCAUCUCAAAAAAAAAAAAAAAAAAAGGGACAGGAGACAGAAGGGCUGAACAGCUGCCUCACACCUCUUUUUAAGUCAUUAAUCCCAGAGCCCUCAUGACUUAAUCACUUCCUCAAGGCCCCACCUCUACAUACUAUCUCACUGGCAAAUACAUUUCCACAUUUGAAUUUUGGAGGACACAUUCAGACCACUGCACCCCUCAAGUUGGUUAGUGUCUUUGAAUAUCUUUUUUCAUGCUGUGACAAUCUCAUGGUUUCAAACUUUUCUUCUAUCUGUGUUAAUCCCAAAUAUCUUUGUUCUCAGUCAUCUCCCUAGUUUCCAUCUUUCUCCCAGACCUCCUCUCUACAUAAAUAACCUGCAUGCACUGUAAAAUCCAUGUAUCAAAAAACUGAACUUGUGUAAUUCUCUUCCAAAUCUGUCCCCAGCUUCUAGAAGAUGGGAGGAAAACAUGAUACAAGGGUAUAAGGAAAUUCACUCAGUACUGCAGAGACAGCAUGGAAGACAAAGACUCAGUCUCUGUGUUUCUGAAAGGUCUUCUCGAACCAUAUCCACCCACUUCUCAAUUUCUACCACAAAAGUAGAAAACGUAACCUUGAUUUUCACUUUCUGUCCUGUAACUAUAAAAGUCAUCUGUAGAAGGUAAUUUGGGUCCUCACUUCCAUAAAUAUUCUCUGACUUCCUCUAAUAGAAAGUAGGAGAAUGUGGCAGUACUGUAUAUUACAAUGUUAGGACUACUUAACAUAACGCUGCUUUAAAAGACCAGAAUUUGAGACGGGUGAAAGGGCAGGGGCAAGUUUGAUUAUUCCUAACAUCUAUGAGGAAGCCUCUGUCUUCCCCAUAGGAAGCUGUCCUUUCUUCUCUAUUAGUUAUAUAGGAAUAAGAAUCUAGAGGAAGCUUUAAACAUUCAUAUUGGAGUUAAGAAUUAAAGACACUGAGAUGAUUAGUGUGUGGAUAACCUGAAAUACUUUAUGGCUCAUUCACCAUUUCAACAUCAACAAGAGGAGAACACCACAAAUACGGCAAACUGUCUAGCUGCUCAAGAAAAUGGUGCCCCCUUCCUCCCAGGCACACAGCUGGACACAUUUCCCAAAAUCUCUCUAGGUGGGCCAUGUGACGGAGUUCUGUCCAAAGGAACAUGGGCGGAAGAGAUAUGCACCACUUCCAGGCCUGACCCAGAAACAUUUUCCACACAGACUUUUCCUUCUUUUCCUAUGUGCUCUUUCAACAAAGAGGGCUCUAUGGACUGAGAGAAAGGCAGAGCCCCAAGAGGAAGGAGCCUGGGUCGCAGAAAGACUAGGUGGAAAGCUGUCCACUGACCACAAACAUCCACAUGGGACAUCAUAUGAGAGAGAAAUAAACCUGGGAAUAGUUACUUAACUUCUUUGGGUCCUAGUCUCUGGGCAAAGAGGAAAAGCUCAAUAAAUAUCAGCUGACAUUAUAUUAGGAAAUAAAGUUUACUUCUCCUUAAUUUCUUUUUCUUAGGCAAGGCGGAGCACCGGGGGUGAGUGGGAUUGGUGAAAAGCACUAAAUGACAUUUGCCUAUUACAAAAUGCUAAUUGGUACAUUUAAAUAAGAUGACAUUGUGACAAUAACUCACAGAUUAAAGACAUUUUCUUCUGGAUCCCAGACAUUAGAUUUUAAGACUGAUUUCUUGCUAAAAACACUCAAAUCUAGUUAAAAUGUGAAAUAUAAACAGAAUGUGGUACCCACUUCUUUCCCCCUGUGACACUGAGUGUCCGGGGAUGUUCUAAAACACAAUUAACAAUCCACAUCAUUUCUGUGGCUUCAAAUUGGCACAAAAUCUGUACAAAGAAUACUUUGUGCUGCUAUAAUACUCAACUGAUACAGUUUAAUUAUGAUCA
rnacentral:lncRNA from 10 species